UCACUCCACUCGGAGGUAUGGCUUGGUCUAGAAUAUGGUAGGACGGCCACGAAAGACGGCCACGCCGCUAUUGGUCAAUUUCUCAGCAAGCUCCACGCUGCUAUUGGUCGGGGUAUCAGCUGCUGCAGUGAGGGAUAGCUAGCGGUGGGGAGGGCUGCCGGCGUUUAUCCACAACUUUUAGGGGCAAAAAAACGUCAACCUUUACGACUAUAAUCACUCCACUUCGGUGGAUAAGCCACAAACAGUCAUUUGUGCGGCUCUUAGCUCUGGAAACCUUACAGGGCAUUUGCCAGAAAGGAGAAACUGAUUGCACAGCAGGAAAUGGAGAUGUCAAUGCAUUAAAUUCUGGAAUUGUUGGAAGUGCCAGCUUUAGUUCAUAACAACAACAUGAAUACUGAACCCUGACUUAUGUUAUCACAUUCUUUCUCUGAAGUAGAAUAACUAGAGGUGGAUUGUAGUGUUGAACUGUAGAACUAUUCUGUGUUCGCUUAUUUAUUUGUUUUCUAUUUUUCCGAGUUGCAUGUUUGAGAAUAUUUUCUAAAACUGUUUCAAGCAUAACAUAUAGUAACUAGAUUCAUUACCUAUAGUACUUGUAGAUAUUACCAGUUUAUUUUCUGAUACAUGUAUAUUAUUUUCAACACCAUUCAAUUAUUAUUAAAGCUGAAAUACACGUUUU